UGGGGAAUUUUGGACAAUGGGCGAAAGCCUGAUCCAGCAAUGCCGCGUGUGUGAAGAAGGCCUUCGGGUUGUAAAGCACUUUUGUCCGGAAAGAAAUCCUUGGCUCUAAUACAGUCGGGGGAUGACGGUACCGGAAGAAUAAGCACCGGCUAACUACGUGCCAGCAGCCGCGGUAAUACGUAGGGUGCAAGCGUUAAUCGGAAUUACUGGGCGUAAAGCGUGCGCAGGCGGUUUGCUAAGACCGAUGUGAAAUCCCCGGGCUCAACCUGGGAACUGCAUUGGUGACUGGCAGGCUAGAGUAUGGCAGAGGGGGGUAGAAUUCCACGUGUAGCAGUGAAAUGCGUAGAGAUGUGGAGGAAUACCGAUGGCGAAGGCAGCCCCCUGGGCCAAUACUGACACUCAUGCACGAAAGCGUGGGGGAGCAAACAGGAUUAGAUACCCUGGUAGUCCACGCCCUAAACGAUGUCAACUAGUUGUUGGGGAUUCAUUUCCUUAGUAACGUAGCUAACGCGUGAAGUUGACCGCCUGGGGAGUACGGUCGCAAGAUUAAAACUCAAAUGAAUUGACGGGGUCAUAGCUGUUUCCU
rnacentral:rRNA from 1 species